ACUUGCUUGAAAUGCAUUAGCUGGCGACCUGCUUUCAAUGGUUACCACUCGGCGUAGUAAGUCUUAUUCGUCGAGGACAUCUUGCACCUUCACGGGUGCAGGUGGCCAUUGUGCUGUGUCUUGAUGGCCGCUCCUAAUCGUCCCUGGACAAUACAGAACUCUUUAAUCUCAACUCGGGUAGGACUACCCGCUGAACUUAA
rnacentral:misc_RNA from 1 species